rnacentral:lncRNA from 1 species
ACCACCGAGCACUGAGACUCACCCUAAAUGUACAGACAAGCCCUUCAGGGCACAGACUUACUCUGUAACAUACUAAAUCACAUCCCCCAUACUUAGAUGUGCCUUAUGAUUCACAGUGAUGCGUGUAAACACAUAGAUUGCUUCCACAAUGCACAGAAUUGCAUCAUAACACAGACUUACUCUACAGUGCAAAACUGACAGUGCACAUAAACAUUUCCCAGUCGGCUAGACACACAACACACAUAUUACUCCUACAAUGUAAAGAUUUCCAUCACGGUGGACAGACGUGCUUUUCCAUGCUGUUGAGCUACAACUCUGGCCUACAACAACAGAAAUACAGCUUGUGUAAUAGUUACCAGCAAGGCCUCUAGACCCAUACUAACUGGGUUUGAAUCAAGGUCCCGUCCCUUGCUGAUUGUAUCACCUUGGGAGGAGAUGGAAGAUUGAGAGCAGAGUGCAAGAAUGGGAAGAGGGCUUCGUGCCCUGUGCACGUUUGCCACCUAGUGACCAAACUGACUACACUAACCCAAAGAAACUGCGGGAUCAACUAAGAUCAGCUUGAGGACUCAACCUGGUUACCCAGGAGUUAUGGCACUACCAGAAACUCUCAGGCUCUAGAGAGAAAAAAGACUACUGGGAGAGAACUCCAGACACUUGUGGAUGGAUAGUCAGAUGUUUAUUCCAACACCAUUUUUUGAGUAGUCCAUCCUUUCCUUAAUGUUCGGAAAUACUACCAGACAACUGUAAAAAUAUUAAAAAUGAAUAAGUGAACAUAUUUGUAUUAUCUUAUUGGGGGAAAGACUUUUCAAAGCAAGGCAGAAACAGUUGACUACAUAAAUACUUGAAGCAACUUUAUGGCAAAAGACAAAAGCAAUAAAAUUCGAAA